UACCGAGGUCAUUCACGCGUCUUCCACUACGCGUUUUGUUGUCAGGUACGGAUAGCGGUUUUCCAAAACCACCAUCUCCUUAAACCAUCUUUCGCCUGCUUAUAAAAUACCCCCUCUAGGCUACAGUUGGUCAGAUGUGGUGCGAAAACGAGGAGAUCCCAGCCUCCUGAAACUUACAUGGCAUGGGCGGUUUGGUAAGAGGGAAUCUUAUCACUCUCUUCCCUGGGUGGUUGCUUUCUUACCAACACCUCCCAUUCCACUAAUUUUCAGUAGUUUUUCUCCCUUUAGCUCCAAAUAUCUUGGUCCGAUCUGUUGAUUUCAUGAGAUAUGUGAGAAAAGAUGGUAAAAAAUGAGAGAGUUUACGGGGAGAAUGGGGUGUGAGAUGAAAAAGGAAUGGAGGAAAAGGGAGAGAGAAUUAGCGGGAGCUGUGGGUAUGGGAGGAUUGGGGAGACGAUGAAUUAGGAAACUGGAUCUGAAGAAAACAUUUUCUUCCCAAGACCCCCCAUGCCAACAGCUUCCGGUUGUUCCUCCCUUUCCCUGAUUUGUCCUUGUUACGAUCUGAUUUUUGCUACCGGAGUUUGAGAGGAGUGUAUAAUUGGAGAUCAGACCAUUCUCAAAGGGGGCGGAGGAUUAGGUUUUCCAUUCUCUUGGCCAUUUGCUUCGGCCUAUAACUUUUGUGUAAGGAUGACUAGAACCGCCCGAGCUUUUACGGCUCGCACCGACCGAAUAUUCUUAGGGUACGGCCUUAUGGUCUGGUCACUGGACAUCGUGAACACCGAUCUCUAGUUUGAACUUUGAAGCAACUGGGGCUGCUCAAAUCGGUCCAGGUUAGGAAAAGCCUAUGGUAUCCACGGUACAAAUUUAAAAAAUGAAGUACAAAGCAAUCAGAUGUUUUACUUAAUAUUGCCUUGUGAAUCCGGCGGAUCUCUGCUGAAAAUUUUUUGGUGCGUUGUGAAAUUUCAAGGCAAAUUUGUGUUAGAGAAUGUGGUAGAGCAAUUUUAGAAAAAGGAUAUUUGUUUUUUUUUUUUAAUUUGGUAAAUUCAAAUAUAUUAUUGCAAAAGAAUAAAUUGGUUAAAUAUCCCAAUAUUUAUAAAUCUAGUUCUUUCUAUA